rnacentral:misc_RNA from 1 species
AUCAUGCAGUUUCUAACAUUCUCCAUUUGGAUGUCCUGGAAGGAUAUGCCUGAAACAGAUCCCGUCCCACCUUGCCAUGUCUUGAUCCUCACACCAUUGUCUGAAUCUCUUAUAAUUGCAUUUCUAACUGUUAUGUUGGAGACACAUGCCUGGGAAUUAUGUACUCCUAGGCUUCCAAUGCUAAUCCCGUGACUAGGGCCGCAGGUGACAGCCUCGAUAUCAA